CUUCGGUAGAAACGUACUGAAAU
rnacentral:snRNA from 1 species